rnacentral:piRNA from 1 species
UCCCAAGUCACACUUGUCUCCAACAGCUGC